UACGAAGGGGGCUAGCGUUGCUCGGAAUCACUGGGCGUAAAGCGCACGUAGGCGGAUUGCUAAGUCAGGGGUGAAAUCUUGGAGCUUAACUCCGAAACUGCAUUCGAUACUGCCGUGCUUGAGGACUGGAGAGGAGACUGGAAUUUACGGUGUAGCGGUGAAAUGCGUAGAUAUCGUAAGGAAGACCAGUGGCGAAGGCGGGUCUCUGGACAGUUCCUGACGCUGAGGCACGAAGGUCAGGGGAGCAAACGGG
rnacentral:rRNA from 1 species